rnacentral:lncRNA from 1 species
CGCAAUGGCACAAUCUCGGCUCACUACAACCUCUGCCUUCUGGGUUCAAGCAAUUCUCCUGCCCAAGUAGCUGGGAUUACAGGCACCCACCACCAUGCCCGGCUAAUUUUUGUAUUUUUAGUAGAAAUGGAGUUUCACCAUGUUGUUCAGGCUGGUCUCGAAAUCCUGACCUCAGGUGAUCUGCCUUCCCAGAGUGCUGGGAUUAUAGGUGUGAGCCAUCGUGCUCUGCCUGUUUUAAAUUUUAAAAUGCAUCUGUAAUUGUUUUUUAAACUGCAAAAAUGAAUUAAUUAAAUCAUAAUGGAAAUAAGAGUAUUGUAAUUUUCCUACCCAUUACAGUGUACAUAAGCAUCACUAUAACUAGUGCUAUCUACAUAAAAUAUUCAAAUCAGUAUACAUAUUACAGUAUUACAGUGGUACCAUAGAAAAUAUUCAAAUUGAGGCUGGGCGCAGGGCUCACACCUGUAAUCCCAGCACUUUGUGAGUCCGAGGUGGGCAGAUCAGGAGUUCAGGAGUUAGAGACCAGCCUGACCAACAUGGUGAAACCCUGUCUCUACUAAAAAUACGAAAUUAGCCAGGCAUCUUGUAAUCCCACCUACUCAGGAGCCUGAGGCAGGAGAAUCGCUUGAACCUGGGAGGUGGAGGUUGCAGUGAACCAAGAUCAAGCCACUGCACUCCAGCCUGGGUGACAAGAGCAAAACUCCAUGUCAAAGAAAAGAAAAAAGAAAGAAAGCAAAUAUUCCAGUUAAAUCAGGUCAUUGAUUUUGACUAGAUGUCUAAGUGUCAUGUACACCUAGGAGGUAAUACUAGAAACAAUUGGGUAUACCCAACCCUCACACCACAAUGCAAAAGUAACAUUAAUUAACACAGUCAUGAAAUGCAGUUCUACCAAAACAAUAAAGUUGUUUAGUGGAGAAAAUAUUUUAUUUUGCUUUCAUUUUUAAUUUUAAAUUAAGUAAAAUUUGAAAGUUCUUUUGCACUAGCCCACCUAUCAAGUAGUCAGCAGCCACGUGACUGGUACCUUCUACAUUGCACCACACAGUUCUAGAAUUUCAUAUAAAUGAAAUCAUUUACUAUAUACUCUUUUUGGCAUCUUUCAUUCAGCAUAAUUGUUCUAAGAUUCAUGCAUGUUAUGUGUAUCAAUAGUUCAUUCCUUUUUAUUGCUAAGUAUUACCCCAUUGAUUGGAUAUACCACAAUUUUUUAAUCCGUUCAUCUUGUUGAUGGACAUUUAGGUUGUUUUUUAGCGUUUAGCUUUUACCAGUAAAGAUGCUAUAGGCAUCCAGAUAAUAGUGUUUGUAUGGACACAUGCUUUCAUUUUUCUUCAGUAAAUAACCCAGCAGUGGAAUGCUGUCAUCUGGUAGGUAUAUAUUUAAUCUUUUAAGAAACUGCUAAACUGUUUUCCAAAGUGGUUGUACCAUUUUGCGCUCCCUCUAGCAUUGUAUGAGAGUUCCAGUCAUUUUAUAUCUUUGUCAGCACUUAUAUGAUCAGCCCUUUUAAUUUUAGCCAUUCUAAGGAGGUGUUUAGUGGUAUCCUCUUAUGGUUUUAAGUAGCAUUCACUAAUGACCAAUGAUAUAAAGCAUUUGUUCAUAUACCAUACCUGUUUUGUCUUCUUUGGAGAAAUGUCUGUUUAAUUUUCCUCCUAUUUUGCCUGAGCAAGUUGGGGAAAUAGACUGUUGAGUUUUAAUAAUUCUUUAUAUAUUAGAUACAAGUCUUUUGUUGGGUAUAUGUUCUUUAAAGAUUUUCUUUCUUGGGGCUGAGCACAGUGGUUCAUACCUGUAAUCGCACCAUUUUGGGAGGCCAAGACAGGAGGAUCACCUGUAAUCCCACCAUUUUGGGAGGCCAAGACAGGAGGAUCACUUGAGGCCAGGAGUUUGAGACCAGCCUGGGCAACAUAGCGAGACCCUGUCACUACAAAAAAAAAAUAAUAAAGGAAAUAAAAAAACUUAGCCAGGUAUGAUGGCGUGUACCUGUAGUCCCAGCUACUCAGGAGGCUGAGGUGGAAGGAUCACUUGAGCCCAGGAAGUUGAGGCUGCAGUGAGCUGUGAUUGCACCACUGCACUCCAGCCCGGUUGACAGAGUAAGACCAUCUUAAAAAAAUAUUUUUUUCUUUCUGUAGCUUGUCUUUUCAUUUUAAUAGUAAUCUUUCAGAGAACAGAUGUUUAACAUUUUAAUGAAAUCCAAUUAAUCUUUUAUUUUGCAAAUUGUGGUUUUGAUGUUGUAUCUAAGAACUCUUUGCCUAACCUAAUUAUUUGCCUAACCUAAUGUCACAAUAUUUUUUUCGAUGUUUUCUUCUUAAAGUUUUAGUCUUACAUUUAGAUCUGAGAUCUUUUUGUGCUAAUUUUUUUUUUUUUUUUGCAUAAGCUGUGAGGUUAGGUUGAAGUUCACUUAUUUUUGCCAAACAAUAUCCAAUAUUCCAGCACCAUUUGUUAUAAAGAUUAUCCUUACUCCAUUGAAAUGUCUUUGCAGUUUUGUCAAAAAUCUGUUGGCUGUAUUUCUGUGGGUCUAUUUGUAUACUCUAUUCUUUUCUUUUUUUUUUUGAGAUGGAGUCUUGCUCUGUCACCCAGGCUGGGAUGCAGUGGCACAAUCUCGGCUCGCUGCAAGCUCCGCCUCCUGGGUUCAAGCCAUUGUCCUGCCUCAGCCUCCCGAGUAGCUGGAACUACAGGUGCCUGACACCAUGCCCGGCUAAUUUUUUGUAUUUUUAGUAGAGACGGAGUUUCACCAUGUUAGCCAGGAUGGUCUUGAUCUCCUGACCUCAUGAUCUGCCCGCCUCGGCCUCCCAGAGUGCUGGGAUUACAGAUCACUUUGGGAAGCAGUGACAUCCAACCUGUAUCAAGUCUUCUAAUCUGUGAACAUGAGAUGGGUCUCGGCUGUGUUACCUAAGCUGGAGUGCAGUGGCUAUUCCCAGCACAAUCAUAGUGCACUACAGUCUCCAACUCCUGGGUUCAGGUGCUCCUUGUGCCUCCGCCUCCUGAAUAGCUGGGAUUGCAGGCAUGUGCCAUCAUGCCUGGCUAUGUGCCUUCAAAAAGACUACAGUUGUGGAUGGAGUGUUUUAUCAAUAUUAGUUGGUUUAUGAUUGUGUUUAGUUCCAUAUCCUAGCUGAUUUUCUAUCUGUUCUGUCCAUUCUUGAAGAGUCCAACUAUAAUUUUGAGUUUGUCUAUUUCUCCUCAAGUUCUGUCAGUUUUGCUGUAUAUAUUUGAGGUCUGUUUUUAGAUGUGUACACAUUUUAAAUGGUGUUGGGUCUUUACCAUUAUGUAAUGUCCCUCUUAAUCUAUUGUAAAUUUCCUUGCUUUGAGGUAUAGUUUGUCUUAUGUAAAUAUAAUCAGUUCAGUUUUCCUUUGACCAGCAUUUACGUAACAUAUCUUUUUCCAUUUUUAAACUUAUAAUCUACCUAUAUUAAAAUAUAUAGUCAGGCCAGGUGCAGCGGCUCAUGCGUGUAAUCCCAGCACUUUGGGAGGCCGAGGCAAGCAGAUCACUUGAGGCCAGGAGUUUGAGACCAGCCUGGGCAACGUGACGAAAACCUGUCUCUACCAAAAAUGCAAAAAAUUAGCUAGGUGUGGCGGCAUGUGCCUGUAGUCCUAGCUACUCAGGAGGCUGAGGCAUGAGGAUCGCUUGAACCUGGGAGGCAGAGGUUGCAGUGAGCCAAGAUGGCACCACUGCACUCCAGGCUGAGUGAAAGAGCAAGACUCUGUCUCAGAAUAAAUAAAUAAAUAAAUAAAACAGCAGCAACAAAAUGUAUAGUCAUGUCUUUUUUUAAAAAAAACUCUUCUGUCAUUGUCUUUUAGUUGGUGUGAAUAGACCAUUUACAUUCAUUGUUAUUGUUGAUGUACUUGGAUUUAGGUCUAUCAUUUUGUUAUUUUCUGUUUGCUCUCUUUUGUUUGUUUGAGACAGGAGACAAGGUCUUGCUCUGUUGCCCGGGCUGGAGUGCAGUGGUGCAAUCUCGGUUCACCACAAGCUCUGUCUCCCAGGCUCAAGUGAUCCUUGUGCCUCAGCCUCCUGAGUAGCUGGCACUACAGGCGACCACUGCCAUACCCCACUAAGUUUUGUAUUUUUAGUAGAGACGGGGUUUCGCCAUGUUGGCCAGGCUAGUCUCAAACUCCUGGCCUCAGGUGAUCCGCCCGCCUCAGCCUCCCAAAGUGCUGGGAUUACAGGCGUGAGCCACUGCAUGUGGCUGCUCUCUGUUUUUUAUGCCUCACUGUUUCCUUUCCUGCCUUCUUUUGGGUUAUUUGACUAUUGCUUAGUAUUCAAUUUUAAUUUAUCAAUUGAUUAUUUUAUUAUAUCUCUUUGUGUAGUGUUCUUUAGUGGUGGCUCUAAGAAUUACAGUAUGUACACCAAACUUUUUACUUUCUGCUUAGAAUUAAUAUUUUACCACUUGUAAAAUGUAGGAACCUGGCUAUCAUGUAGGUUCCUUUCCCCUGUCCUUACUAUGUUGUAGUUAUCAUAUGUAUUGCAU